rfam:Trichobilharzia regenti genome assembly, scaffold: TRE_scaffold0087874
AUCCAGAAGACGAAUCCCAAAUAGGACGAAAUGCACAUCCUGGAU